AUUGAACGCUGGCGGCAUGCCUUACACAUGCAAGUCGAACGGCAGCACGGGAGCAAUCCUGGUGGCGAGUGGCGAACGGGUGAGUAAUAUAUCGGAACGUGCCCAGUCGUGGGGGAUAACGUAGCGAAAGCUACGCUAAUACCGCAUACGAUCUAUGGAUGAAAGCGGGGGAUCGCAAGACCUCGCGCGAUUGGAGCGGCCGAUAUCAGAUUAGGUAGUUGGUGAGGUAAAGGCUCACCAAGCCGACGAUCUGUAGCUGGUCUGAGAGGACGACCAGCCACACUGGGACUGAGACACGGCCCAGACUCCUACGGGAGGCAGCAGUGGGGAAUUUUGGACAAUGGGCGCAAGCCUGAUCCAGCAAUGCCGCGUGCAGGAUGAAGGCCUU
rnacentral:rRNA from 1 species